GUACACUCCUACGGGAGGCAGCAGUGGGGAAUUUUGGACAAUGGGCGAAAGCCUGAUCCAGCAAUGCCGCGUGUGUGAAGAAGGCCUUCGGGUUGUAAAGCACUUUUGUCCGGAAAGAAAUCCUUGGCUCUAAUACAGUCGGGGGAUGACGGUACCGGAAGAAUAAGCACCGGCUAACUACGUGCCAGCAGCCGCGGUAAUACGUAGGGUGCGAGCGUUAAUCGGAAUUACUGGGCGUAAAGCGUGCGCAGGCGGUUUGCUAAGACCGAUGUGAAAUCCCCGGGCUCAACCUGGGAACUGCAUUGGUGACUGGCAGGCUAGAGUAUGGCAGAGGGGGGUAGAAUUCCACGUGUAGCAGUGAAAUGCGUAGAGAUGUGGAGGAAUACCGAUGGCGAAGGCAGCCCCCUGGGCCAAUACUGACGCUCAUGCACGAAAGCGUGGGGAGCAAACAGGAUUAGAUACCCUGGUAGUCCCA
rnacentral:rRNA from 1 species